GGGGAUGUGGCUCAGUGGUAGAGCACUUGCCCAGCAUAUGCAAGGUCCUGAGUUCAAUCCCCAGUGCCUCCA
rnacentral:tRNA from 1 species